rnacentral:rRNA from 1 species
AUGCAGAGCCUCUUUGGUCGCAGCAGCAGGAACCAGCGGACAUUCAGGCCCAAGAAGAGUGCUCCAGCGAGGGACAAGAGCAUGAAGCUGAAGAGGCACAUCGACGCGACCCUCGGCAGCGGUAACCUGCGAGAGGUGGUCCGCCUGCCAGUCGGAGAGGAUCUCAACGAGUGGCUCGCUGUCAACACUGUCGACUUCUUCAACCAAGUGAGCCUCCUGUACGGCACCCUCAUGGAGUUCUGCACGCCAGCUACCUGCCCCACCAUGUCAGCCGGUCCAAAGUAUGAGUACAGGUGGGCUGAUGGACUCAAGAUCAAGAGGCCUAUUGAAGUGUCUGCACCAAAGUACGUCGAGUACCUGAUGGACUGGAUCGAAGCCCAGCUCGACGAAGAAUCCAUCUUCCCUCAAAAGCUUGGGGCUCCCUUCCCUCCAAACUUCCGGGACGUCGCCAAGACCAUCUUCAAGCGUCUGUUCAGGGUGUAUGCCCACAUAUACCACUCGCAUUUCCAGAUGAUUCUCAAGCUCCAGGAAGAAGCACAUCUCAACACCUGCUUCAAGCACUUUGUGCUCUUCACAACGGAAUUUCAGUUAAUCGAUAGGUCAGAGCUGGCUCCUCUGAGCGAACUGAUCGAACCCAUAUGGCGUGGACACUAG